GACGAACGCUGGCGGCGUGCCUAAUACAUGCAAGUAGAACGCACAGUUUAUACCGUAGCUUGCUACACCAUAGACUGUGAGUUGCGAACGGGUGAGUAACGCGUAGGUAACCUGCCUGGUAGCGGGGGAUAACUAUUGGAAACGAUAGCUAAUACCGCAUAAUAUUAAUUAUUGCAUGAUAAUUAAUUGAAAGGUGCAAUUGCACCACUACCAGAUGGACCUGCGUUGUAUUAGCUAGUAGGUGAGGUAACGGCACACCUAGGCGACGAUACAUAGCCGACCUGAGAGGGUGAUCGGCCACACUGGGACUGAGACACGGCCCAGACUCCUACGGGAGGCAGCAGUAGGGAAUCUUCGGCAAUGGACGAAAGUCUGACCGAGCAACGCCGCGUGAGUGAAGAAGGUUUUCGGAUCGUAAAGCUCUGUUGUAAGAGAAGAACGGGUGUGAGAGUGGAAAGUUCACACUGUGACGGUAUCUUACCAGAAAGGGACGGCUAACUACGUG
rnacentral:rRNA from 1 species